AUUUAUAUAGUUUAUUAAAAACAUUACACUUUCACUGUAAAAACAAAGACCAACUUUUAUAAAUA
rnacentral:tRNA from 4 species